CUGGUUGGUUGUUGUGUUUUUCCUUUAAAUUUUAAACUUUAAAUGCUUCUAUGCUUUGAAACUUUAAAUAAUAGUGAAAUUUUGAAACUUGAAAAGUAAAAAUUUCAAAUUUACAUAUCUUUGUUGAUAAUGGUACUCACCCAAUCUAUGAUUAUUUCCCCCUGUAAACUGAUUACCCCCUUCCCCUUGUAAAAUUUUCAAAUUUUCAUUUUUUGGUGUAAUUUGGUGCAGAGAUUGAUAUGAUGAAAG
rnacentral:misc_RNA from 1 species